rnacentral:rRNA from 1 species
GACGAACGCUGGCGGCGUGCCUAAUACAUGCAAGUAGAACGCAGUUGCGAACGGGUGAGUAAAGCGUAGGUAACUGCCUGGUAGCGGGGGAUAACUAUUGGAAACGAUAGCUAAUACCGCAUACUACUAGAUGGACCUGCGUUGUAUUAGCUAGUUGGUGGGGUAACGGCUCACCAAGGCAACGAUACAUAGCCGACCUGAGAGGGUGGACGGCCAACACGGGACUGAGAAACGGCCCAAGCUCCUACGGGAGGCAGCAGUAGGGGAACUUCGGAAAUGGGCGGAAGUCUGACCGAGCAACGGCGCGUGAGUGAAGAAGGUUUUCGGGGCGUAAAGCUCUGUUGUACGGGAAGCGGUAUCUUACGAAAAAGGGCCGGCUAACUACGUGCCAGCAGCCGCGGUAAUAC